ACACAACAUCUUCGUUUGUAUGUGGUGCUGAGGAUCGAAUCCGGGCCGCACGCAUGCCAGUGCACAUUGGAUGCUAUCUUUGAGCACAGAAGAAAACAUGCUGCUUGAAUUAUCGUUGUUUUUCAAGUGAUCCCUUUAAAAACAGCAAAAUGGAAAAAUCUUUAGGCAAUCUUUCAGGCAAAUAAAGAUUUUUAAAGACUGGA